AGCUGCGUGGUGGCGCAGAGCGAAUUAUUCUUUCGCCUUUUACUAAAGAAUACCGUGUGCCCGCCACUUAAAGCAGCAUACGUCAAUUUUUUGUGUGGCCUCUUUCCUAUGUAAA